rnacentral:rRNA from 1 species
UACGAAGGUGGCAAGCGUUGUUCGGAUUUACUGGGCGUACGAGGCACGUGAGCGGUUGGGUAAGCCCUUCGUGAAAUCUCCGGGCCUAACCCGGAAAGUGCGGAGGGGACUGCUCGGCUAGAGGAUGGGAGAGGAGCGCGGAAUUCCCGGUGUAGUGGUGAAAUGCGUAGAUAUCGGGAGGAACACCAGUGGCGAAGGCGACUUCCUGGCCUGUUCUUGACGCUGAGGCGCGAAAGCUAGGGUAGCAAACGGGG